UACGAAGGGGGCUAGCGUUGCUCGGAAUCACUGGGCGUAAAGGGUGCGUAGGCGGGUCUUUUAAGUCAGGGGUGAAAUCCUGGAGCUCAACUCCAGAACUGCCUUUGAUACUGAGGAUCUUGAGUUCGGGAGAGGUGAGUGGAACUGCGAGUGUAGAGGUGAAAUUCGUAGAUAUUCGCAAGAACACCAGUGGCGAAGGCGGCUCACUGGCCCGGUACUGGACGCGU
rnacentral:rRNA from 1 species